CUCUGACCACCUCGACUUGGUUGCCGGGUCCGAAGCUCUUCGGUUGUCCCUGCUCGGCGACGGAAAUUCCGUUCUCCGUGUCGUAGCUGAAAGAUUGGAAUGCAGAGAGAAUGGAGUAAGGAACCGAUUCCGGAAUCGCUGGACCAAGGCUGCUACCGUAGGUAUAACGUAACAAAGUCACCUCCGGGCAUCGGAGAUGGAAAGGUCAUCUGAACGCAAGUGGGCACGCAUCGCCGCAGAAACCUCUGCCUAACGGCGGCGUAAUCGUUUCUCUACGGUACGUGACGGUGAUUUUAUCAGAGUUAAAACAAGCAGAAGGAUUAAUCGGACAAUGGAGAUGCUCCGAGCGCCAUCCGGAAGACAACGCCUAAUGUCAAGAAAUGCUGGGCCGACACGUUCACCGAUUUGGGGGAUACUGACAACGAUCAACAGACAGGCAGUGGACGUUAGCCACUGAUCUCGGGAAGUUUGAACUCUGAAAAUUGGGCCCUUUCAUAUACACAACGCUGAAGUAGCCGAAUUGGCGGUGCUGCCAGAAGAAUUGGUGUAUGUUUUUGGCAAACCAAAUACACAGCGGUAACGGCCUCCAUUUACAUGUCUGUAUAUUAUAUAGACUUGUGUGAUUGUGUUACUCUCGUUGAUGUUCGAAUGAAUUAGAGAUGUUUCGGCAUCUUGAUAAAAUGAUUGAUGUUACAAUGUGUAGUAAUGUAGGCCUGUAAAUGUUUAAACAUCUGUAUUAUGCGGCGAUGGAGAGUGUCAUUCAAGAAAUAUAAAUUAGCGAGACAACGAGAUGAGUAAAAAUAAAAUAUACAGGUGUACUUGUAUUAACAAGGGACAAAGCUUAGCUUUAAAUAACUCUUAUAUAUUCUUACAAUUUAUUAAAUACAAGUACAUGUAUCUAUAGUUAGGAUUAUGUCUAUACCACAAUGAGAUAUCUAACACUGUUUACGGAUAUGUUGUAUGUUUAUGAAAAAUAUUGUUUGCUCAAAUUCCGUAUGAAGAUAUUUUGACAGAACAAUUCAAUGGAGGACAUUUAAUUAUAAGACAUAUGUAGUAUGACGUUUGGGGACUAACAAGCUAUUGUUAGUUAGUUGAUAUAUGACAUGUUACAUUAGGUUUGAUAAAUGUUACUUUAAGAUUACGUAACUGUGUCUGAUAUAGUGUCAGAUGCGCCAGCAAUUAAUCGAAUUUAUUAUUGUAAUAUUAUUCUGCAAUUGUGCAUGUAUUGGUCAUAUUUUUUCCAGACG